UAACAAAUGUUGACAAUAUUCAUGCAGUUGUUGCAGUUGACAGAUUCAAGGCUUCCGUAACAAAUUUUAGUAAAAAGUUUCCUGUCAUUCUCAAUGGAAAACCAAUUGAAAUUGGCAAAGAAUUGAAUGAUGGAGAUAUGUUGGUCAUUGGUGGCAGAAAAUUUUUAUUCAAUCAUAAGAAAAGUUGCAAUAGUCACUCGGAUCUUUUUGAGGACUCGUCUGAACAUUCUGAUCCUUUUGACCCAGACUAUGAAAUGUCAGAGGAUGCAGACAAUGUGACUUCAGAAGACAGUUGUGAUGAAAUAAUUGAGG